GCGGUCGUAGCUCAAUUGGAUAGAGCACAAGCCCCCGAAGCUUGGGGUUAGGAGUUCAAAUCCCCUCGACCGCGCCA
rnacentral:tRNA from 1 species